rnacentral:misc_RNA from 1 species
AAAUCAGAUAAAGAUAAGAAUUUUCUAUAUAUAUUAUCUUAGAUCCACGAUGGAUCAGGUAUAGGUAAAAAUUUUCUUGUAUAUAUUAGCAUGAUUAAUGUCCUAAACAUUUUUUGGAUCAUACCCUUGAUUACUUGUGUAAUUUUUAAUGUAUAUUUUGCUGAAUCCCUCAUUAAAAAAAAUAAAAUUAACCAAUUAAAUAAAUUUGUGAAAAGUAUAUUCACUAUUUCUAAAUAUUUGAUAGUUCAUCAUUUUUAAUCAAAGAAAAAGGGGAAAAGAAGAUGACAUAAAACAUCUAUGCUUUGCUAAUUCCAAAAUGAUAUCCUUAAGAAAAUGUAGACAACUCAAAAAAACAUGUAGAUAAUAAUAUGUUGAAUUGUCUUAACUCGUUCUUGCAGCAAACAAGCUAUGCAGACAUGUUGGAUUUGGCAGUGCAGCACAUCAAAGUCCUUCAAAAUGAAGUUAAGGUGUGUAAACGUUCAAUGAUCAAAAACAAAUGGAGGAAAAAUAAGAGAGAAACAAAUGAAUUUGCCUAAAUGCAUCUGUUAUAUCUCUUGCAGUUAAAUCAGUAUUUGCUCGCUGCUGAUACAAUUAUAUUGCUGGUCUUCCUUUAAUUUUUGCUUCAUCUAUCUUGCAGAAACUACACGAUGAAUUGGAAAACUGUACAUGCGGAUGCAGGCCAACCACGUGACAGUCAUUUUGGCUAACUGGGAUUUUCAUGAAACAAGUUUUUGAUCCAAGGAUUCUGAAGGCAAGGGGACUCUAGCCAAGGCUAGCUAAUUUUGUUAUUGCACCAAGUUUAACUUAAUAAUGCAAAGUAGAAGUUUAGAUACUCUAAAUUGUAUAUAAAGAAUUUACAUGGGUUAAUUUGUUGUAACUCCGAAAAAAAAAUGUGUGUAAAAUGAUUUUCAAUUUCCACUUCUUUGAGCAGCCUGUGAAAAUGCUUUGGUUUUUUAAUUCAGGUGGCCUUUGAAAAUGAAAAUUGCAUGUAUUUCAUUACUGGUUCAGCAUUUGUGUUAUUACUUACUUCACUAGCAUCAAUUGCUUAUAGCGCAACCCUCCAACACUCGGGGCCAAGCUUAG